CGGAUAGUGUAUCCCCCUUAUCAACUGAGUUGGCAACAGCUCUCAUAUCAUAGUUUGUAUGUGCAUAAGAUACCAAUUUCAACCACACAAUACAAGCAAAGAGCAUCAAUGUGACACCAGAUAAAACAGCAGAUUCACAACUGAGAAUCACAGAAACAGGGUAUGAAACUGCUGCUGAGGUGAUGAGCACAUGAAAGAAAACAACAAUAAAUUCAG
rnacentral:misc_RNA from 1 species